AGAGGGGGCGUGGCCUGCCCCCGGCCCAGCCGGCUCUUCUUUGCCUCUGCUGGAGUCCGGGGAGUGGCGUUGGCUGCUAGAGCGAUGCCGGGCCGGAGUCGCGUCGCCUUAGUCCUCCUGGCUGCCGCCGUCAGCUGUGCCGUCGCGCAGCACGCGCCGCCGUGGACAGAGGACUGCAGAAAAUCAACCUAUCCUCCUUCAGGACCGACGUACAGAGGUCCAGUUCCAUGGUACACCAUAAAUCUUGACUUACCACCCUACAAAAGAUGGCAUGAAUUGAUGCUUGACAAGGCACCGAUGCUAAAGGUUAUAGUGAAUUCUCUGAAGAAUAUGAUAAAUACAUUCGUGCCAAGUGGAAAAAUUGUGCAGGUGGUGGAUGAAAAAUUGCCUGGCCUACUUGGCAACUUUCCUGGCCCUUUUGAAGAGGAAAUGAAGGGUAUUGCCGCUGUUACUGAUAUACCUUUAGGUAAAGUUCACUUAGAAGCUUUAAAAAAAAAAAUAAUUAAAUUCUUUUACAAGUUUCCAUUGAGGUGUGAUAUACAUACAGCAAAGUGCACAGGUCUUAGAUAUACAGCUCAGUGAAGCUUCAGAAAUGCAUGCAUGCAUGUAGCCAUGACUCAGAUCAAGAUACGGAAGAGCCCAGCACUCCACGAUGCUCCAUCAUGCCCCUUUGCAGAAAAUACUGCCUCCUCCAGUAAACACUAUUCUGAUGUCACUAUAGAUUAGUUUUGCCUCUUCGUGAACUUUGUAUAAAUAGAACUGAACAAUAUGAACUGUCCUGUGUGAUUUCUUGUAUUUCAUUAUGGGUGGUGUGCUAUUGUAUCAGCAGGGUAUUUGGGUAGUUUUCAGAUUUGUGAUAUUAACAAUAAAGGAAUUAUAAAUAUUGUAGUACAUUUUGGGGGGGUUCUAGGUACUCAUUUUCUGGAUAUAUACCUAGGAAGUGAACUGUUGUGUUAUAGAGUAAUUGUGUGUUUAGCCUUAUAGAUUCUGCCAAACAGUUUUCCAAAGUGAUUCCAGCAGUUGACAAUCAGCAGAGUAUGAGAGUUUCAGUUUUCUCCUAUGAUAAUUCUCCUCUCGAUAGUGUCAGUCUUUUCUUUUUCCUUUUUUUUUUUGUUAGUGUCAAUCUUUAUUUGAGCCUUUUUGUUGAGUGUCACAGUAUCGCAUUUUAGUUUCAAUUUGCAUUUCCUUGAUGACUAAUGAGAUUGAACAGUUUAUUGACUUUUUUUUUUUGGUUUCUUUGUUUCUUUUGGAGAAGGGCUUGUGAAGGUCUUUUGCCCUUUUAAAAAUUAGACUGAAGGAAUUUUUUACAUACUUUGAAUAUAAGCCCUUUGUCAGAUAUAUGGAUUCUGAAUAUCUGCUCCCAGUCUAUGACUUUCAUUUUUAUUCUCUUACUUUUGUCUUUUGAUGAACAGAAAUUUUUAAUUUUAGUGAAGUCUAAUAUCUCAGUCUUCUCUUUUAUGAGUAGUGCCUUUUGUAUCCAUUUAAGGAAUCUUGGCCUACCCCAAAGUCAUAUAUAUAUGCUUAUAUAUUUUCUUCUAGAUGUUUAAUGUUUACUUUUUACAUUUAGGCCUAUCAUCUAUUUUGAAUUAUUUUUGUAUAUGCUAUGACUUAUGGGUCAAGCUUCAGGUUUUUCUCAUAUGGUAUAUCCAGUUAGUUAAACACUAUCAAUUCAAAAGGCUAUCCUUUCCUCAGCAAAUUGCAGUGAUGUGUUUGAUAUAAAUAUACAAUACAUAUGUAUAUACACACACACACACACAAUGUGUAUCUGUAUAUACAAUCAGGUGAUUGUAUAUAUGUUGUUUUGUUUGGGGAAUUAAGUUUCAUUUACAUAUUUGUCUUUUUGUCUUCCCUUAUAUCAAUACUAUUUCACCUCAGUUACUAAAGCUUUAUAGUAAGUCUUCAAAUUAGGUGGUAUAAUUCUUCCAACUUUGUUUUUCUCAAUAUUUAUUUAAGUUACUGAUUUCUCUGAGCAGUAUCUUUUAUUUUCAGGGAGAAGACCUUGCAUGUCAUUCGUUAAAAUUAUUCUUAGAUAUUGAUGGUUUGGGAAGCUAUUUUUAAAAUUUCAAUUUAAGCUUUAUGGCAUGUAACGAAAAAGAUUUUCCCCAUGACCCCAAAAGUUUUAUCUUUAAGCUAGCAAAGCAGUAGUGUCAUUAUUUUAAAUAGCCAACAGUACCUUCAUUUGAUAAGAGAGAUGAUUGAGAAUUUGUGAAAAUCAGUAGUAUUUAUCAACAAAAGUGGCUAGUUUUGUGUGCUGCUUCUUUAAAAAAAUCAUUUAAAAGAUAGCAUACUGGAAAUAUGUACUUGCUGCCUUUAUGGAGAGCAAGUCUAAUUCCUUUAUUAUGUAAAGAACUCUAGCAACUCAAUACCAAAUAGCUUACCAAAAAUACCUUAUGGAUUAAGAAUAACAUCAUAUAUAAGUGGUGUAAAUUUAUAUAAUUAUUAUAAAUUAUUAUAAAUGUAUAAUAAAAUAACUAGAAUUUCACCAAAUUAGAAAUUUAAUGGAAAUAAAAUAAACAUUGGAUUUGGGUGAAAAAAACAUGUUGAGCUUAACAUGUUAAUGUUAAAUGGGACAGAAAUACAAUGUGCUGCCUACUUUUGAAUUAAAUGCUAAAUAGCAGUAUUAUACAUUUUGGGAAAAUAUUCAAAAAAUAAAAUACCCUAGAAUGGAGUUUCUUGGCAGCUCUGUACUAAUUUUAAUAGUUCUUGAAUCUCCUUUUUCACCUUAGAAAUUUUAGUCACACUUUAAAAAUCUGGGCAAAAUAUAUGUCCAGCAAACAGCCAAGAGCCAGAUGUAUUAAAUGAUCAUAUUUACGCUCCCAAAAGAAAAUUCAAAAUGAAGCAUGUUGAUAAUAAACAUUUUGGACGUGAUGUUGGAGAACAAUUGCAACCUGCCCAGAUGUUCAGCUCGCCCAAAGGCUGCCUCCUUGGUGACUUGUUUCAUCUUGAGUCUAGAGAGACCAGGCUGGGGAAGAAAACCACCUCCAGCCAGCCGUUCCAGCACAGCCCCACUGGCCAAAGCACACACUCACACAAUGAAAACACUGAAACUUUUUCUUAAAACAAAUUUUUCUCCCAUUGUCAUGGUUCUGUAUAUUAACACAAAAUUUUCUUUUCUCAUAGGAGAGAUUAUUUCAUUCAAUAUUUUUUAUGAAUUAUUUACCAUUUGUACUUCAAUAGUAGCAGAAGACAAAAAAGGUAAUUGUAUGCUGAGGGAGGGUGGGCAGCAUGAAGCACUACAUACAGAAAAAUCUUCUAAAUGAAAUUAGAACUUCUAAAAUUUGGGCUUGCUAUGUAAAUUCUGUGUAUGUUGCGUACAGCUUUUUAUUUCUUGGUAAAAUUUUGUGAUUGUACUGAAAAUUUUCCUUAUUUUCAGACUACUGUACUGCCUAUUAAAGUUGAUUUCAGACAUGCAAAAAACCUGGAAGAAAUGUUUCAGGGCUAGAAACAUUCUUCUCUUUCUCAUAGUUUACUUCUACCCAUCUACAUGAUUUGAUAGAAGUGCUCGCAGGAGGUGCUUCCUUAUCUUCGUGUAUGUCAUGACAUCUGUCCUUUUCUUGAGGCCCAGAACACACAUUCUACCAUCCUUUCCCAGCCAGGCAACCCAAUGGAUACCAGCCUCACUUUCCCGUAUUUUUCCUGACUGGUCCCCAGAGUACAAAGCACAGGACAACUUCACUAACUCACCCUGAUCUUUGACCUAUACUCUGGGUAUAAAUCUGCCUGUACCUUACCCUUGAGAUGUCCUGCUCUAGGGGAUGGUGCCUGAAGGGAAACAUUUGAUGAAUCACAGUAAUUGAGGCUCAGAUUUCUGUGUCCUGGUAGAACCAUGUGAUAGUGAACCAAAACGUGACCAUUGAUUCCUUUUCCCAUAUUCUGAUCUUACCUGGAAACCCGUGCUCUCAAAUUUUGUGGGGUUAUCUGGCAGAUUGACAGUGACAACAGUCCCAUCUGGUGAAGGCUUAGGAUAUUAGGAUAUUUCUUACUUCUUAUUGUUUGAAGAAACAAUUGUGAAUAUAAAUUAAUCAAAAUUAGAGGCCAGGCACAGUGGCUUACCCCUGUAAUGCCAGCACUUUGCGAGGCUGAGGCGGGCGAAUCAUCUGAGGUUGGGAGUUUGACACCAGACUGGCCAACAUGGUAAAACCCCUUCUCUACUAAAAGAAAAAUACACACACACACAAAAAAAGUAGCCAGGUGCGGUCGCACAUGUCUGUAAUCCCAACUACGUGGAAGGCUGAGGCACAAGAAUUGCUUGAACCUGGGAGGCAGAGGUUGCAGUGAGCUGAGAUCGCACCACUGCACUCCAGUCUGGCCAACAGAACGAGACUCUGUCUCAGAAAUUAAUUAAUUAAUCAAAAUUAAUUGUCCAGCUUUGAUUUAGAAUCUUAACUGCUAUUACACGUCUCUUCUGUCUACCUUCAAAUAGGUCAUCUAAUACAUGGGAGAAACAUGGAUUUUGGAGUGUUUCUUGGGUAAGUACAGAACAAAGGGUCAGGCAUGGUGGUUCACGCCUGUAAUCCCAGCUUUUUGGGAGGCUGACACGGGUGGAUCACGAGGUCAGGAGUUCAAGACCAGCCUGGCC
rnacentral:sRNA from 1 species